rnacentral:ncRNA from 2 species
UCAACACUCUCGGGGUGCCGCAAGGCUGAGAUAGUUUUAUACUUAUCCCGCUGAACUUGAACUGGAUAAUGCCAGCGUAAGGAAGAGAAAAGUACAAAUU